rnacentral:rRNA from 1 species
UACGUAGGGUGCGAGCGUUGUCCGGAAUUAUUGGGCGUAAAGAGCUCGUAGGCGGUUUGUUGCGUCGGCCGUGAAAACCUGCAGCUUAACUGUGGGCCUGCGGCCGAUACGGGCAGACUUGAGUUCGGUAGGGGAGACUGGAAUUCCUGGUGUAGCGGUGAAAUGCGCAGAUAUCAGGAGGAACACCGGUGGCGAAGGCGGGUCUCUGGGCCGAUACUGACGCUGAGGAGCGAAAGCCAGGGGAGCGAACGGG